GAGGAGAGCGAGACCGCGCACAUCAACGCGCUUCAAAAUCGUUGGUAGCGCUACAUAGGAUUUGUUCGAGAAUGUCUCCAAAUAAGUGCAUUUUUGAAUGUGAGGGAAAGUUUACUGUGUUCAGCCUCCCCAAGAACCCAGCAUUACAUGAACGGUGGAUGCAGUUUGUUUUUCCGGGGCAGGAGUGUAUCAAGUGCGUUUGUGUUCUGGUCUUUUGAGUGACGGAUGUUUUAUAAACAAGGCCCAAGUCGACGCUGGAUUUGCACAUCGUUUGCUAUUAAAACAUGGAGCCGUCCCUGUGAUAAAAGACCCCAUUCAUGCUUUGCCAUCUGUUAAAUUUUGGUCUGUUCCUCAUUGAAAGUGUCAUGUGAUUUGGAGUGCAGCAACACAAGGCGACUAUUGUAAGUGUUUUUUGGUGUUUUGUUGGAGCUUAACAUAUGAAUUGCUUUGUGAUGAUUCGUCAAUAAUUCUCCCAUAUUUGUUCCACAGAAAUGAUAAUCUCUUCAUAUUCACACACAAGAUGACAUGACAUGGAUUUUAUGAGGUUAGACAAAGGAAAAGAGUUGUGAUGUCAUGAUGACUUUUAUACAAUAAUAUGCUCAUAUUCCUACACAAGAUGAUGUUCACAGCAUCUGCGUUCAAGUCAAAAAGAAGAUGAAUUUCAUCUUUUUCCCCACCUAUGUAUUUAUUAUAAAUACAUGUAUACACAGGCUACAAGUCAUGAAUAUGGAAUAUUACUGAUAAAGAGUAUGUACAAA